ensembl:snRNA U6 U6 spliceosomal RNA
CUGCUCACUUUGGCAGCACAUAUACUAAAAUUGGAACGAUAAAGAAAGAUUAGCAUGGCCACUGCACAAGAACUACAUGCAAAUUCAUAAAGCGUUCCAAAUUUUU